GACGAACGCUGGCGGCGUGCUUAACACAUGCAAGUCGAACGGAAAGGCCCUGCUUUUGUGGGGUGCUCGAGUGGCGAACGGGUGAGUAACACGUGAGUAACCUGCCCUGGACUUUGGGAUAACUUCAGGAAACUGGGGCUAAUACCGGAUAGGAGCUCCUGCUGCAUGGUGGGGGUUGGAAAGUUUAGGCGGAUGUGGAUGUACUCGCGGCUAAUCAGCUUGUUGGUGGGGUACUGGCUUAGGCAGGGUUUGACGGGUAGCCGGCAUGGGAGGGGGGCCGGGGACAUGGGGCCUGAGAGACGGAGCAGACGGCUAUGUGAGGCAACGGGGGGGAGCAUUGCACAGUGGGGGGGAGCGUGAUACGGAGGCGUCCCGAGCGUGAAGAAGGCCUUCGGGUUGUAAACCGCUUUCGGCUGUGACGAAGCGUGAGUGACGGUAAUGGGUAAAGAAGCACCGGCUAACUACGUG
rnacentral:rRNA from 1 species